GACAGAGGUCUCAAGCGUUAGGCGGAAUCACUGGGCUUAAAGCGUGUGUAGGCGGAUCGUUAAGUGCUUUGUGAAAUCCCACAGCUCAACUGUGGAACUGCUUGGCAUACUGGCGGUCUUGAGCCAUCUAGGGGUCGCUGGAACAAACGGUGGAGCGGUGAAAUGCGUAGAUAUCGUUUGGAACGCCAAUGGUGAAAACAGGCGACUGGGGAUGUGCUGACGCUGAGACACGAAAGCCAGGGGAGCAAACGGG
rnacentral:rRNA from 1 species